rnacentral:rRNA from 1 species
UACGGAGGGUGCGAGCGUUGUCCGGAAUCACUGGGCGUAAAGGGCGCGUAGGUGGCCCGACAAGUCACUGGUGAAAGCUCGACGCUCAACGUCGAGUCGGCCAGUGAUACUGUUGGGCUGGAGCACUGUAGAGGCUCAUGGAAUUCCGGGUGUAGCGGUGGAAUGCGUAGAGAUCCGGAAGAACACCGGUGGCGAAGGCGGUGAGCUGGGCAGUAGCUGACACUGAGGCGCGACAGCGUGGGGAGCAAACAGG